GAUGAACGCUGGCGGCGUGCCUAAUACAUGCAAGUCGAACGCGCAGCGAAAGGUGCUUGCACCUUUCAAGCGAGUGGCGAACGGGUGAGUAACACGUGGAUAACCUGCCUCAAGGCUGGGGAUAACAUUUGGAAACAGAUGCUAAUACCGAAUAAAACUUAGUAUCGCAUGAUACAAAGUUGAAAGGCGCUACGGCGUCACCUAGAGAUGGGUCCGCGGUGCAUUAGUUAGUUGGUGGGGUAAAGGCCUACCAAGACAAUGAUGCAUAGCCGAGUUGAGAGACUGAUCGGCCACAUUGGGACUGAGACACGGCCCAAACUCCUACGGGAGGCUGCAGUAGGGAAUCUUCCACAAUGGGCGAAAGCCUGAUGGAGCAACGCCGCGUGUGUGAUGAAGGCUUUAGGGUCGUAAAGCACUGUUGUAUGGGAAGAAAUGCUAGAAUGGGAAUGAUUCUAGUUCGACGGUACCAUACCAGAAAGGGACGGCUAAAUACGUG
rnacentral:rRNA from 1 species